ensembl:lncRNA
CGGAAGCUGCCUGAGGGCCACUGGGAAAUGUAGUUUCUUCUGCCCCUGGGAGGGAAAGGAAUGAGGAGUGGCUUGCUGUCCUGGUGUGGUGUGUGGCUAAAACGUUGGCCAUUCCAGAGGCCUGGUGGGUGUUGCAUGGUUGAACAUCUGGGAAUGCUGUUCUUUGCUGUUCAGUGAAUCAGCAGAAGGGGAGAUGGGCCCCAGGUGUCCUGCAGCCAACUGCAUCUCAAGGAAACUGAGAGCUAGAGUCAGAGGUUAAGAUUCAAUUCACACAAUGAGGAAAUGGAGGAACCAAAGUCCAGAGCAGCUUCCCUGACUCAAAGGUCAGUGCUUUUCUCACUAG